GCUGCCCCUCAAGGCACUGUGGAUGUAGCUACUGUGAUAUAUGUCAUCAUUCGGUGGCAGAGAGAAGAGAGGAUAUAUCUACACUUAGUAUGAUGAUACAAAUAUCCAGAUGAUUACUAGUCUAAUAUU